AGCGGUGGGGAAAUACCUGGCUCCAUUCCGAACCCAGCCGUCAAGCCCAUCUGCGCCAAUGGUACUCGAGGGGUCACCCUCCGGGAGAGUAGGUCAGCGCCAAGC
rnacentral:rRNA from 1 species